CUUUCAUUUUCACAAAAAAAAACGAAAUUACUUUCCAAACAACCCAUUACAUAAGAAUUGAAAUGUCAAAACGAAACAAGAUAUUCUCUUUGGUGUGAUUGAUUACAAGGAACAUCGUAAUAAUACAUCGGAUAAGAUAGUUGAAUUACCGGUACUUUUAUUUGACCAAUAUAUUCUCUCCGACCAAUGACAAUGAGUAGAUCGAGCAUAACCAAAAAAAAGAUCGUCAUGAAAAUACAAAGAUUAAAGAAUCUCUCUAAAGCAUCUAAACGAUUUCAGCAACUCUCAGACACACCAGAAUGAAAGAAGAGUAAAACGAAGUAAAGAAAAGAAAAAUUUCUAGGAACAAAGAAUAGACAUGUCAACAAGAUUAAAAGAUAAAGAUAAUCAUUACGAAGAUACUGUUGUUGAAAACAGUAACAACGAAGAUAAAGAAUACAAUCAAUAACGAGAAUAGACAACGACGAAAUAUCGAGAAACAAAAAAAAUAAUGAUUGAGAUCAAAUGAAAGUGAACAAACAAUAAAUAAAUAUGACGUUUGUUAUCAUUUUAUUCACAGGAAUGUGCGAAUAACGUAAAAACGUAGGAUUAAUAUAUUAAAGGCAUCAAUGAAAUAUUACCGACGUUCGAAUCGGAUUUAUUCGGACCUUGAGGUUGAGAGAUAAUUCGAAGAAAAAUAAAAAAUAAUUUCGAUCAAUUGAAAAAAUAAAGAAAAUAGAUCAGUUAUAACUCUAUAUACGCCACAUGGUUAAACGAUUUAGAAUCGUUAGAGAAGAUUUUGAAGCAUUAUUAAUUGACGAAUUUGAGAGAAGUUUGGCAAAACGAUGAUGUGAUUGCCUAUCUUUCUCAAUGGCAACGAUUAGUUGCACGAGAAUACAAUAGGAAGAUAGGAUAGAACACGGCAGAAAGUAUUUACUACUUAUUAAACUAGCCAAACGCACAAAAACAAUCAUGCCGGAUAAGGAAACAAAUGGAGAUUAGUUUUGGGAUUAAGAAACAUACAAUUCCGCGAUUAUUUGGGACAUCUUUCAAGAUAUGCAAAACCUAUCUCUACCAGUCAACUGCUAGCAGACUUUUAAAAAAAAGUGCUGAUCAUUAACCACACUAACCGAACAUAUCAUGCUAAAUUGAUGAAAAGCAGGACUGUUAACGGCAAUUAUGUGAUUCAACUAUUGGAGAAAAAGAACGUCGAGGAUAAUAACUUUGUUGGGAGGACUACAAUAGUAGAGAUAUAUAGUUCGAACAAGUCGAACUAUAAUCAGAUCAAUUAUGAUCGAUCUAGGAAACUUAUGCGUAAUACUAAAUACAGGAUUAACAACGACGAUGAAAUAGGACUGACGUACGUAUCUAAAGUUUUGUAAAAUUAACAGAGUAUAGAUAUGGAUAUGUAUUAUAACUGUUGAAACUAUAAUUGGGAGUAAAGGAGAAUUGAAAAUCCAUCCGUAAUUCCGAUGACGUAUCAAGUUAUCCCUUUGAUCCAGUAGAUCAUCAUCCGUUACGGGAGGAUGACACAUAGGACGAUAUUAUAAUUCUGAGUAGAUCAAAUGAAUUAUUAAUGAGAUAAUCUCAGAACAGAUUGAUAUUAAUAAUCAAUGAUGACAAUUAAUCCCAAGAUGUGUUUAGUAACAAUAGUGGACGACAAGACCAUGUAGAUUGUAGAGACACGUAUUAAAUAUUACUGACUCGUAAUGGACAAGGAGAUAGCGCGUCAUUACAUGCGCAGAACCGAUCCAACAAGGAAGACAUGAAAAUAGAAGCGAACACUGGAUCAUACUCGUUAUUCACAAAAAUGUUGUACGUCGAACUAUUGAAUAAACUGAGAUGGAUAGAAACACCAAUGGAAUUCGACAAUUGUACAUUUUCAAUCGUAUUGAUUAUCCAACAUCAUGAGCGACGACAACAGGAAAUAAUGCACAGUAACUAGAUUAUAGAAGGUAAUAUCAUCGAAGCGAAUGAUUUUCUGUUUUCCUAUUGUUUGAUGAUACUACUCUUUCCGAGAUAAAAUGACGUGCAAGGUAUGAAUGGAAGAGUGAAGGGGAAUGGGAAUGUAGAUCGUAAAACAGUUAUAUAAUAACAGUGAAAUAAUAACAGUUAAAUAAUAACAUUCGAUAUCGAGAGAAUACAGGAUCGAUCGAACAGACAGAGCAGACAUAUUAAAUAUUAUAUCAUGUCGUGUCCUAAGUAACCGUUAUAUUAUCAAGUA